rnacentral:misc_RNA from 1 species
UCCGGUUUGUCACCGGCAGUCCCGACAGAGUCCCCGGCAGUCUUUCGACCCCGCUGGCAACAGUCGGCAAGGGUUGCGCUCGUUGCGGGACUUAACCCAACAUCUCACGACACGAGCUGACGACAACCAUGCACCACCUAUCGCAGACCCCGAAGGACACCGUAUCUCUACGGCUUUUCCCUACAUGUCAAACCCAGGUAAGGUUCUUCGCGUUGCGUCGAAUUAAGCCACAUGCUCCGCCGCUUGUGCGGGCCCCCGUCAAUUCCUUUGAGUUUUAGCCUUGCGGCCGUACUCCCCAGGCGGAGUGCUUAAUGCGUUAGCUGCGGCACAGAGCGGGUUGAAGACCGCCCCACACCUAGCACUCAACGUUUACGGCUGGGACUAC